GAUGAACGCUGGCGGCGUGCCUAAUACAUGCAAGUCGAGCGAACAGACGAGGAGCUUUCUCCUCUGACGUUAGCGGCGGACGGGUGAGUAACACGUGGAUAACCUACCUAUAAGACUGGGAUAACUUCGGGAAACCGGAGCUAAUACCGGAUAAUAUAUUGAACCGCAUGGUUCAAUAGUGAAAGACGGUUUUGCUGUCACUUAUAGAUGGAUCCGCGCCGCAUUAGCUAGUUGGUAAGGUAACGGCUUACCAAGGCAACGAUGCGUAGCCGACCUGAGAGGGUGAUCGGCCACACUGGAACUGAGACACGGUCCAGACUCCUACGGGAGGCAGCAGUAGGGAAUCUUCCGCAAUGGGCGAAAGCCUGACGGAGCAACGCCGCGUGAGUGAUGAAGGUCUUCGGAUCGUAAAACUCUGUUAUUAGGGAAGAACAAAUGUGUAAGUAACUAUGCACGUCUUGACGGUACCUAAUCAGAAAGCAACGGCUAACUACGU
rnacentral:rRNA from 1 species